UAAAAAGGAAAUAGGUUCACAUAAAUUGAAACGGAGGGAGUAACUAUUUAUACACUUCAUUUCUAAGUACUCUUGUGAACCUGAAUUCUCUUUCUAUAAUUCAGGAAGCAAAAAGGGAGCGGCGACGUAAUGUUGGCACUAAGACUCGGAGCCAGCGAGUAGAUUUCCUCCUCCAUCACAUGUUGAGAUCUGAACUAACAGAAUGCUCCAAUGACAAUCCAUGAGUUUGCUCCUUUCUCCAUGCUGCUUUCUGCUGUCGUGUGAACAUCGGAAGUUUGAGUUAUUUUGGUGGUGAAGAGAAAUUGCAAUGUACAUCUCCAACUAAUUAUGUGUGUGUAUCGUGAAUUGUAGUGUGCUCUGUAGUAUAAAUUCCAUCAAGCCUAAACAAAAUUUUAGCUGCUCCACUCAAACAUGUAAUUAGCCAAAGUAAUGUAGUAUCAUUUAUCUGCACCUUUGGAAAAGGAUGUAAGGGAAAGAUGCCGUUGUUGCACCUAUGAACACCUCACACGCUGCUGUUUUUCUUAAUAUUGUACGUUGCUUGCUUGUAGUUUUUCAGUCUGCUGCUCAAACAUUCAAGUUAAAACAUGAUGUACUCAACAAUUCUUCACUUUUCA